AGCUGAUAGGCAGAUACUAAGACCACAGAAAUACAAGUGGUGGAGAGGGCUCUGUGUGAUGUCAUUUCCCUCCUUUCCUGGAGAGGAAGGAGUAUGUAGCACUUCCUGUUCCUCUCUCUCUCUUCCUUUCACCAACUUUGGAUGCAGAUCUCUGCUUGCUCCAGCUUUAGGCAAAUGGACCUGGAGUUGGUUACCCUGUAAAUAUAGGUAUUUUGCCUGCAUAGCUGCCAUUGCUGUGAACCAAUGCACGAUUGCAAAGCCUAAAAACAGAGAUGGAGAGUCGCCAACUUUACAACCGGACUUUGCAGCUGCGCCUUUCACAGGAGAUUAAUCUGAAGCCAUUAGCAGGGAGCGAUGUGUGAGUGUGAAGGAACAAGCCUGUUGUGCAAAGAUGCAGAGAGGGUGAGGCUACAAUCCUACACCGAUUUACCUGGGAGUAAAACCCCAUUGAACUUGAUGCGACUUACUUCUAAGCAGCUGCUCCAGCAAGCCAGGAAGAGAGCUAGUCUACCACAUAUCCAGAGUUUCCAUGAUAAUACAUGUGACUAAGGAUCACUUGAACCAAAGCAAAAUUAACAGCUCUGAUUCUGGUAUCAUACGAGGAAGAAGGAAUAAUCGAAAGACGCCCAAAAGAACCAUCUGCCUCGUUCCAACUUAUCAGAAGAGAACUCCUGCAGGGGAUCAGAUCAAACCACCUCUAAACCUAAGAUGUUUUAAUUCCAUGUCAUCUAAGCGCUCUCCCUGCCUGUCCCCAAAUUAAAAUUGAUUGACAAUUCCUAAACUAGAGAACACCACACUGAAUACAAAUACAUUGUUAUAAUCAAUUCUAUCUGAAUUUUUAAAAUAUGUAUGUCAAUUCUUUUUGCAUAUUUAUGCUGCCCCCAAGUAAAUGCUAAAAAUGCUAAUGUGUAAAAGAUUCAAAUUUUUUUAUAUUUAGAGACAGUGUUAUUUUAUCCUUCUGUUUUAACAAACUUCAUGCAUAUGCUUCUGCACUAAAAAAAAAUCUAGAUAUGAAUAAAAACAAUGCUCCACCGCUUACCAAGGGAAUAAUAAGAAAAGAUUUGAUAUUAUGCCAUUAUUUAUUGUGAUAAAAUCUUAUUCAAACAAUGUAUCUGUUCUGUGUGACUCCACUUAAAGUGAACUAGCUUCAUGCCAAUUUAGAUCUGUAUUUUCCCAGUUAUUGUGCCGACACGACAUACAAUUCAGAAUUCUUUUAUUUAGUUCUUUGGCUUUGAGCAAUGUAAUAUUUGUGGCUAAGAACCAGCUAAGUUCAUUUCUGCAUGUGUGUUGGCUGUUCCAUUUAUCCUGACUUCCUGCAUACUUAUUUUAAAUGCAUGGUUAAGCUUAAUGUGCAUAAAACCAACACAUAAAACCAAAAGCUCUAUGAAAUUAAUUUUCUUUAAAACUACAGGCAAGCUCGGAGGCAGUUUUGUUUCCAUACUGCAAUAUAUUUAAAACCACCACACACACGACUUUCAGCAGGUAUAAUACUACUGAAUCACCUCUUUCCUCUGUUAAAAAUAAAAAUGAUACAGGAGAUGAUAAAAUUAUGACUAAUAUAUUAAUAGUAUAUUAGAACAUAUAAUUAUUAUAACUGGCACCUGCCUUUCUUUCUUUUAAAAAACCCCACCUUUUAAAAAAUCCCCACCUUUUAAAAAAUCCCUCUUUAAAAAAUGAAAAAGAUAAUGGAAUGAAAUAAAUAUGGUUUUGAAUGUCAUUACAAAUUUCAGAAUCUAUUCUCGCUGAUAAAAAUUUGUAUGCUGUGUUUGAGCAAACUGUCAUGUUAAUCACAUUCCUCAGUCUGGUGGCUUCAGUAAUAAGCAAGCUGAAAGGUAGGUGCUAUUUUGUUUUCGUUAAUGUAGUUGAUGGGCUCCCCCCUUUCCAACACCCUAAGAGGGGAAAACAGAAUUCCCAUUUACUUUUCGUGACCUCUGAUUUAAAAACAAAGAUUGCACAUUAUUUACUACUGGAUGAUUUCCCUGGAAUUUAAUGAGGACAAAGUACAAAUAUGACAGAUGUAAUUAUCAUAGUUUUAUUCUGCACAGUCAGGGUCUCCUUGUGCUGUAAUUGCAAGCUUUUCAUUCAACCGCUGGCAGCAGAGUUAUUACCUCGGUAUUUUAUGUUAUUUCAGAGAACAGGAAAGAGGACUUCCAGCUCAGUUUUAUUCCAAGGAAUCUCUAAGCAUCCUCGCAUUGGAAUAGUAAUUAAAAACAACGAUCAACAAGAUAUUUCAUCAGAUCUCUUUGCAGAUUUCUCUCCUUGUUGCUUUUUGAGCGCAUUAAGUGUAAAAAACACACACACAAAAAACCCUGGGUUUUCACAACGUAUUGGGAGGGAUGGGAAAGUGGGGGCAGGGAGGGGAGCUGCUAAGCAGUUUCGAGAAAGAAACAUGUGGGCAGGUGGCCAACGCAUUGUCUGGUGCAAAGAAGGGCUCCCCCAGCAUGUAUUGCUUUACUCAUUUAGACUCAAGCCAAGGUUGAGUGAGCCCCAGCUGGAGACUGGACCACUGACCCUGGAGCUGGAAACACACAACUAUACACACACCCCUGGAAGCCUCCCUUUCCAAGGCCUGAAUGUAAUUGCUUUAUAUUACACUCCGGCCUCAUCAAGCCCCUCACAUGACGAAGGGAGGCGAGCGGAAAUAAAAAAAACUUUCUAGUCCAAUUCAUAGUUUAUAGCUCUAGCGUUAUUAAUUUUCCGUUUGGAAUACAGGGCGAUUCUCACCUCACAUCCAAAGGCUUCGUGGCACAGAUGCAUCAAAUAUGCCAUUUUAUUGGCAGGGUAAUUGCUGGAAGCUAUUAAAUUUUGAACCACUUCAUUUAUUUAUUUUGAAUUUAAAAAGAUUAUUUGUAGUUGGUGAAGAAGAUCAGACCACUGUUAUUUCAGGUCUCCACACAUCUGCUACGUUUCAUUAGCUUUUCCUAUCCGUUCUUGGCUAGACAAGAGAUGUUUUUAGCCCAUCAGUAUGAAAGUUAACAGGAGCAAGGUCUCCGCUGAGGACUUGAAGCUUACUACUAAAUGUUGCAUUUACAAAAUAACAUUACCUUCACUAUCAUGAAAAUAGUUAACACAUUUUAAAUAUGGAACCAGUAAAAUUACCAGACAAUCAUGGCAUUAAAAAGCUAUUUGUUCCUGUCAAUAAAGACACAUCAAGCAAGAAUGAAGCAGAAUUUUAAAAUAUUCUGAUGUUACUCUAAAGCAUACUUUGCUCUUGGAAACUACCAAGGACUGUGAGACAGCCUGUGUGACACACAGUGAAGCCACAUUGAAACAUCUAUUUUAGCCAAACACAGUUUAUUUGUGUGAAGCUGUAAUGACCGGAAGAAUUUGGACUGAGAUGUGAGAAAUGGGACUAGAUUUCAGUUACCCUUUGUGAACUCUGAAAGGAAAGGAAAACAAAACAAAGUUCUGAUUCUGCUGCAGUUCACUUCCUGCAAUGUCACAAAUUUUGCCAAUCUAAAUUAUCAGGGCACACAAUUUUGCCGUACAAUAAAUACAAAAUGGCUGCUUGGCUUUAAGGUGAUCCCAAUGUCUUUCCUCAAGAUAGAUGCUGUUUCAGAGGGCAUAUGCUGUACCUUACCAACAAUAUUUUGUCAAUGGGGAAAAGCAAUUCUUCCCACAACUAUGGGAAUGAUAAUGAACAGUAUGAACAACCACUAUGUCCCCAAGAUAUAAGGAGUUUUACUGAAACCUAUUGCAGGGAGCUGGGCAAGUAUUU